rnacentral:rRNA from 1 species
CAGUAGCCGCGGGAACACGUAGGGUGCGAGCGUUAAUCGGAAUUACUGGGCGUAAAGCGUGCGCAGGCGGUUGUGUAAGACAGAUGUGAAAUCCCCGGGCUCAACCUGGGAACUGCAUUUGUGACUGGCAAGCUAGAGUGUGGCAGAGGGGGGUGGAAUUCCGCGUGUAGCAGUGAAAUGCGUAAAUAUGCGGAGGAACACCGAUGGCGAAGGCAGCCCCCUGGGCCAACACUGACGCUCAUGCACGAAAGCGUGGGGAGCAAACAGGAUUAGAUACCCCAGUAGUCCCUGUCUCUUAUAC